GUUCCUUCUGGGACAUUCGUUAAAAUCGGAACUUUAUAGAGAAGAUUAACAUGGCCCUUACACAAGGAUGACAUACCCAAAUAUUUGUAUUGCCCAUUUUAC